rnacentral:rRNA from 1 species
GGGGGUGGAAGUGCAGUAAUGCAUGGAGCUGACCAAUACUAAUCGGUCGAGGGCUUAUCCUAAAA